AGCGGGGGUCUGAAGCUGGCGACAGGUAGUCAGAGGUUAAGAUGAAAAGACAGCAGCAGCUUAGUUUAAGUGAUUUCUUUCUCAUGGGGAAGAAAAGAAAGAAAGGAAAUAGAUCAGAUGAAGUUCAGCUGGAAACUAACAGUGGUGAGGGUGAUGCAGGGAGAGCCAGCACUGCAGAGUUGCAGAGAUCAGAUGAAGUUCAGCUGGAAACUAACAGUGGUG
rnacentral:lncRNA from 1 species